CCGGCCUGAGUCUUAGGUAUCCGUAGCGCCCUCCUUCUUCCUCCUCUUCGCUGAAUACAGCUCACGGUAAGUACUGGUUCACACAGUUCGUUCUCGAGGUGCUCACUCUCUUUCUCUUCCUCCACAGGCAACGGCUGGGACACAAAAGCACAGUUAAUUCGGCUUGGUUUUGCUCUCACCUCUUCGCUGAUUGCAGCUCACAGUAAGUACUGGUUCACACAGUUCGUUCCUUGGGUGCUCACUCGCUUUCUCUUUCUCCACAGGCAGCGGCGUAAGUACAGGUUUCCUCGGUCUCUCCUCGUGUUACCCACUCUCUCUCCUUUUCUCUCCACAGAUAUCAACUUGGGCACAAUAGCACAGUUAGUUUGCUUUGAAUGGCUCUCACCUCUGGGCUGAACACAGCGUACUGUAAGUACAGGUUCCCUCUGGUUCUCCUUGUGUUACUCACUCUCUCUUUCCUUUCCUCUCCACAGAUAUCAACUUGGGCACAAUAGCACAGUUAGUUUGCUUUGAAUGGCUCUCACCUCUGGGCUGAACACAGCGUACUGUAAGUACAGGUUCCCUCUGGUUCUCCUUGUGUUACUCACUCUCUCUUUCCUUUCCUCUCCACAGGUAUCAACUUGGACACAAAGCACAGUUACUCUGCUUUGGAUGGCUUUCACCUCUGGGCUGGACACAGCGUACCGUGCUAUCUCCGGAGAUCUGAAGCACGCUCACAACAUAUACUGUACUGAACUAGGCUAGGACCAGCAGUCUCCUUGUCCUCCCGCGACGAAGUGCAUGAAGGCGGGGGUUUAUCUGACAGGACACACGACAAUACACAGCAGCCCACAGCAAUAUACAACACCACGUCAAAAUUAUAGGUUUUCACAGCACGAAGACUCACCCACCACACUCAGUGUACGAAAAGGACACCCGUCUUCCUUCACUUCGCUUGGUUCGGAUCUGGCGAUGGAAUAUGCGGCCUAGCUAGUGAUGUCGUCGUUGUGACUACUUCAAUAAGUAUUCCUUCGGCUCUCCCACCACGCUAUAUUAGGG
ensembl:lncRNA